GACGAACCGUGCGAACGUUGUUCGGAUUCACUGGGCUUAAAGGGCGCGUAGGCGGGCGGACAAGUCGGGCGUGAAAUCCCCCAGCCCAACUGGGGAACGGCUCCCGAGACUGGCCGCCUCGAGGGAGGUAGGGGCGGCCGGAACUUCCGGUGGAGCGGUGAAAUGCGUAGAUAUCGGAAGGAACGCCGGUGGCGAAAGCGGGCCGCUGGACCUCUGCUGACGCUGAGGCGCGAAAGCCAGGGGAGCGAACGGGAUUAGAAACCCCCGUAGUCC
rnacentral:rRNA from 1 species